rnacentral:rRNA from 1 species
UACGGAGGGGGCUAGCGUUGUUCGGAAUUACUGGGCGUAAAGCGUGCGCAGGCGGUUUUGUAAGUCUGACGUGAAAUCCCCGGGCUCAACCUGGGAAUGGCGGUGGAUACUGGGCAGCUAGAGUGUGUCAGAGGAUGGUGGAAUUCCCGGUGUAGCGGUGAAAUGCGUAGAGAUCGGGAGGAACAUCAGUGGCGAAGGCGGCCAUCUGGGACAACACUGACGCUGAAGCACGAAAGCGUGGGGAGCAAACAGG